rnacentral:misc_RNA from 1 species
AUGAGUGGUGAUUGGUUUGUUACGGGUGGUUGGCUAUUUGCUUGUGCAACAACUUCCACCUGGCAUACCUCCUCAGUUAUGCGUCAAGGCUUGUAUCGUCUUGAGCGUAUUUUGGGUUUCCUGUGUUGCAUACCUAAUUGAUGGUAUUGUUUUGGUUGAUGGAAGUCCCUUUUCGUCUUGUGUUGCAUUUGUGACSCAUGAUGAACCUCAAAGUGGUCUCUAUGUUCCGUCAUGUUGAUGCAAAUGCAUUGAUAUUGUGGCACAUUGAGCGUUGCUCGGUAUCCUGGAUAUGGAACAUUAUGUGGGCAUGGGGUCUCUCAUGACUCUUGUUUUGUCCUCAUUCAGUGUUCUUUAAAAUGACAGUUCAUGUGCGCUUAGGCUCGUACCUGCGUGAUGUUCUUUGUCGAAGAGGAAUGC